UCAAGUUCCCAACCAUCAAACCUGGUUCAUUCCUUGUCAUAUCAGCAUCCGCUAUAGUACCAUUGCAAGCACCCUUCCUCAAUCCACAAAUGGAGGAGCUAAAUUUGGUAAUGGAGAGCUUCCUUCAAACCAAAUCUCAGUGCAUUAUAAGUUUCUAUAGCUUCUGAGCAACUAUUUGAGCUAAUUGGCUACAACUAUGAUCUUUAUUUGUAAAAUUACCAAGUAGUUGACGAGAAAAUUGUUGCAGAAAUAUUGAAUGUAAUUUUUAAGUAUUGAUAGCAUCGCAUUUUGGCAGACUUCGAAAUCUAAAAUUAUUUUGAAAUGCAGUCAUAACUUGCGGCU